GACGGAUACGCUUUAAACCCACUAUAUUCACUUGCUCAUUGUAAUUUAUCAGAUCAAUCAACUUAACUCAGAAUAGGAAAUGACUGACAUUAGAUAUUCCUCUAAAGGGGCACUGUUCAAAUACUGUUUAAGAACAUCAAGAUAUGAAUUAGCAGGGAGACAAGACCACCAACCAAUCUUUGAUGUACUGCUAAUAACAGGGAGGUGGGAGGGCAGGGGGUGGUUCAAAUAGGAUGACAAGAGUUCACAGCUUAGAAGGUAAAACAAGGAAAAUCAGGUGUGAAAAAGGAAGUCAGAGAUAAUUUGAGAUAACUGAAUUA
rnacentral:lncRNA from 1 species